CUACGGGCGGCUGCAGUGAGGAAUAUUGCGCAAUGGGGGAAACCCUGACGCAGCGACGCCGCGUGGAUGAUGAAGGCCUUCGGGUCGUAAAAUCCUGUCAGAAGGAAAGAAGUAUAUGGUAGCUAAUAUCUGCCAUAUUUGACGGUACCUUCAAAGGAAGCACCGGCUAACUCCGUGCCAGCAGCCGCGGUAAUACGGAGGGUGCAAGCGUUGUUCGGAAUUACGGGGCGUAAAGCGCGCGUAGGCGGCUGUUUAAGUCAGAUGUGAAAGCCCAUGGCUUAACCAUGGACGUGCAUUUGAUACUGGGCAGCUUGAGUACUGGAGGGGGUGGUGGAAUUCCCGGUGUAGAGGUGAAAUUCGUAGAUAUCGGGAGGAAUACCGGUGGCGAAGGCGACCACCUGGCCAGAUACUGACGCUGAGGUGCGAAAGCGUGGGGAGCAAACAGGAUUAGAUACCCGUGUAGUC
rnacentral:rRNA from 1 species